rnacentral:rRNA from 1 species
GACGAACGCUGGCGGCGUGCCUAACACAUGCAAGUCUACGAGAAAAGGGUAGCAAUAUCCUGAGUAAAGUGGCGCACGGGUGAGUAACACGUAGGCAAUCUGCCUUCAGGACGGGAACAACCCCGAGAAAUCGAGGCUAAUACCCGAUAAUGCAGCGGCACCGCAUGGUGACAGUUGUUAAAUGCCCGCAAGGGCGCCCGAAGAUGAGCCUGCGCCCCACUAGGAGUUGGUGAGGUAACCGGCCCACCAAGCCUACGAUGGGUAGCUGAUCUGAGAGGAUGAUCAGCCACACUGGAACUGAGACACGGUCCAGACUCCUACGGGAGGCAGCAGUGAGGAAUAUUGCGCAAUGGGCGAAAGCCUGACGCAGCGACGCCGCGUGAGGG